UCAGAGCUGGUGGAGAGACAGAGACCAUGCCACUGGAUAAAUUCGUAGAUGUGGAAUUCCUGGAUCAAAUGGAGGAGAUGGAAGAUUCAGGAAGAGCAGAGAAAGGGAUGUGGAGAUAGGGCUUCGUGCCCAGUGCACAUUUGCCACCUAGUGACCAAGUUGAGAACACUUGAAGAGACAUAAUAGAGGAGCAAUUUGAGGCUCAGUAAAUUGCCCAGGUGCCAAUGAAAAGGGAGGCACACAGUAUUCAGCUUGUGUUCAGGGUAGAAGACUUGGAUUCUCUACACAUUAUGAGCAGCAAGAGAAGAGGAAAGAUGGUGAUGGGAGGAAAAAGAGAAUAUCUGCAGAUGUGGCACAAGCUUUUCACUUCAGCCUGGUAGCCUGACCUUGACACCUGAGUUCCGUGAUUCCUUCUCAACUGCAAGUCAUUCCCAUACAAAAUUUGAGUGUACCUAGUCUGCACCUUUGAGAGCUUUGGAACAAUAUACAAGUUCAAGUCAUGUUGCUUACUGACUAUCUCAUGAGACAAAACAGCAUUUGAGUUACUUGCUUUGCCCUUGUUGU